GAUGAACGCUGGCGGCGUGCCUAAUACAUGCAAGUCGAGCGAACGGACGAGAAGCUUGCUUCUCUGAUGUUAGCGGCGGACGGGUGAGUAACACGUGGAUAACCUACCUAUAAGACUGGGAUAACUUCGGGAAACCGGAGCUAAUACCGGAUAAUAUUUUGAACCGCAUGGUUCAAAAGUGAAAGACGGUCUUGCUGUCACUUAUAGAUGGAUCCGCGCUGCAUUAGCUAGUUGGUAAGGUAACGGCUUACCAAGGCAACGAUGCAUAGCCGACCUGAGAGGGUGAUCGGCCACACUGGAACUGAGACACGGUCCAGACUCCUACGGGAGGCAGCAGUAGGGAAUCUUCCGCAAUGGGCGAAAGCCUGACGGAGCAACGCCGCGUGAGUGAUGAAGGUCUUCGGAUCGUAAAACUCUGUUAUUAGGGAAGAACAUAUGUGUAAGUAACUGUGCACAUCUUGACGGUACCUAAUCAGAAAGCCACGGCUAACUACGUGCCAGCAGCCGCGGUAAUACGUAUGUGGCAAGCGUUAUCCCGAAUUAUUGGGCGUAAAGCGCGCGUAGCGGUUUUUUAGUCUGAUGUGAAAGCCCACGGCUCACCCGUGGAGGGUCAUUGGAAACUGGAAAACUUGAGUGCAGAAGAGGAAAGUGGAAUUCCAUGUGUAGCGGUGAAAUGCGCAGAGAUAUGGAGGAACACCAGUGGCGAAGGCGACUUUCUGGUCUGUAACUGACGCUGAUGUGCGAAAGCGUGGGGAUCAAACAGGAUUAGAUACCCUGGUAGUCCACGCCGUAAACGAUGAGUGCUAAGUGUUAGGGGGUUUCCGCCCCUUAGUGCUGCAGCUAACGCAUUAAGCACUCCGCCUGGGGAGUACGACCGCAUGGUUGAAACUCAAAGGAAUUGACGGGGACCCGCACAAGCGGUGGAGCAUGUGGUUUAAUUCGAAGCAACGCGAAGAACCUUACCAAAUCUUGACAUCCUUUGACAACUCUAGAGAUAGAGCUUUCCCCUUCGGGGGACAAAGUGACAGGUGGUGCAUGGUUGUCGUCAGCUCGUGUCGUGAGAUGUUGGGUUAAGUCCCGCAACGAGCGCAACCCUUAAGCUUAGUUGCCAUCAUUAAGUUGGGCACUCUAAGUUGACUGCCGGUGACAAACCGGAGGAAGGUGGGGAUGACGUCAAAUCAUCAUGCCCCUUAUGAUUUGGGCUACACACGUGCUACAAUGGACAAUACAAAGGGCAGCGAAACCGUGAGGUCAAGCAAAUCCCAUAAAGUUGUUCUCAGUUCGGAUUGUAGUCUGCAACUCGACUACAUGAAGCUGGAAUCGCUAGUAAUCGUAGAUCAGCAUGCUACGGUGAAUACGUUCCCGGGUCU
rnacentral:rRNA from 1 species